rnacentral:rRNA from 1 species
CCUACGGGGGGCUGCAGUGGGGAAUAUUGGACAAUGGGGGGAACCCUGAUCCAGCCAUGCCGCGUGUGUGAAGAAGGCCCUCGGGUUGUAAAGCACUUUCAGUGAGGAAGAACGCCUGGUGGUUAAUACCCAUCAGGAAAGACAUCACUCACAGAAGAAGCACCGGCUAACUCCGUGCCAGCAGCCGCGGUAAUACGGAGGGUGCGAGCGUUAAUCGGAAUUACUGGGCGUAAAGCGCGCGUAGGUGGCUUGAUAAGCCGGUUGUGAAAGCCCCGGGCUCAACCUGGGAACGGCAUCCGGAACUGUCAAGCUAGAGUGCAGGAGAGGAAGGUAGAAUUCCCGGUGUAGCGGUGAAAUGCGUAGAGAUCGGGAGAAAUACCAGUGGCGAAGGCGGCCUUCUGGACUGACACUGACACUGAGGUGCGAAAGCGUGGGUAGCAAACAGGAUUAGAUACCCGAGUAGUC